rfam:Candidatus Nanopusillus sp. Nst1 Nst1_C2, whole genome shotgun sequence.
GCCCCCAUCGUCUAGUCCGGUCCAGGAUACGGGGUCCUCAUCCCCGAGACCCGGGUUCAAAUCCCGGUGGGGGCA